UGAACGCUGGCGGCGUGCCUCAUACAUGCAAGUCGAGCGACCAGACGAGGAGCUUGCUCCUCUGACGUUAGCGGCGGACGGGUGAGUAACACGUGGAUAACCUACCUAUAAGACUGGGAUAACUUCGGGAAACCGGAGCUAAUACCGGAUAAUAUAUUGAACCGCAUGGUUCAAUAGUGAAAGACGGUUUUGCUGUCACUUAUAGAUGGAUCCGCGCCGCAUUAGCUAGUUGGUAAGGUAACGGCUUACCAAGGCAACGAUGCGUAGCCGACCUGAGAGGGUGAUCGGCCACACUGGAACUGAGACACGGUCCAGACUCCUACGGGAGGCAGCAGUAGGGAAUCUUCCGCAAUGGGCGAAAGCCUGACGGAGCAACGCCGCGUGAGUGAUGAAGGUCUUCGGAUCGUAAAACUCUGUUAUUAGGGAAGAACAAAUGUGUAAGUAACUAUGCACGUCUUGACGGUACCUAAUCAGAAAGCCACGGCUAACUACGUG
rnacentral:rRNA from 1 species